CCCCUGUGCUAACCUGCGUGCCUCUCCUUCCCUCCCUGCUCCGCAGGCACAGCACGGGAUCAGCAGGGAGGGGCGGCUCUGUCGUGGAGGAUCCAGGAGCUCGGCGUGCGUGUCUGAGCCUGCAGCUGCGAGCCGCAGCAGGACCCAAGGUCUGCACACGCCUGUGUACAGAAGAAUGAUGCGAGGACAGAAAAGUUGCAAUGGCAUUGCAGUUCCCUGCACAGAAAAUAGCCAGGGAGGUGAAGCGCGGCCAAGUGGUGCCGUUCGACUGCGCCCCGACUGGGAGCAUCAGGUUCAUUCCCAUUGUGAUCUGCAAAUGGCAAAUCAGGGUUGCUCUUUAUUAAAACCAAAAGCGCUCUCAGAAUGUUGAUGGAGGUGAUGAUUGCAGGGGCGAUGCUUCUGGAGAAUAGCUCCCCCAUCUUCCCCAGGGCCUGGGCAGAGAGAGGUGGAGCUCGGAGUCCCCCCAGUCCUCCCGCGGGUGUCGGCGUCUGCAGCGCCAUCGGGACGGGAUCCACGGCGCAGCUCCCUCCUCCAGAGGCCGAAAGCUCAGCCUCCAGUUUCGUGCAGGGUGAUCACCUUUCCAGGGCAAUACAAGCACUUCCCAAGAGCAGCUGGUGAAGAUGGCGCAGAAGCAAGGACAAGGGUGCAGUGAAAAGUUUGGUGCAUCGAUCCAGCUUCCGGACAUGGUAGGGAAGACGCACCGUUUGAUAAAACACCAAACACGUGAUCUUCUACCCUGCCCCAUGGCAAGAAGAGAAGAAGAGUUUGGUGAUUUUGCUGCUCUGCUCUCUCAAGGGUGUUGCAGGCUGCGUAGCAGGGAGUGAAGCCCUUGUCGCUGCUCAUCAGACACUUUCCUACAGAAUUCUCCCUGCAGUGAUAAAAUUAGACUGGUGUUAGUGAGCUGCCAAGUAGAGCAGGUAACAUUGGACAAGAAUGGUUUCUGAGCUGCUGUUCACUAGCACGUGUUUCCCCUUUCCAGCGCGGUGCCGCCGCCCAAGAAAGGAUUUUUGUGGGUCAGCCAGAUGUGCUCCUGCCUCCCACUGAGGCUCUGAGAUGGAGCCGAGUUUGCAUUCCAGUUUAUUGCAACAGAGGGUCAUCGGAAAUUUCCUCAGCUAGCUCAGGCACAGAACCAUGGAAGCAAGUAAGCCUGAGCUCCUGCGUGCUUGCUGUGAGCCUUGAGACGAGUGUGC